rnacentral:piRNA from 1 species
UCCAAAGCUCUGAAUGUCCCCUUUCUCUCU